rnacentral:rRNA from 1 species
UACGAAGGGGGCUAGCGUUGCUCGGAAUGACUGGGCGUAAAGGGCGCGUAGGCGGAUGGCACAGUCAGAUGUGAAAUUCCCGGGCUUAACCUGGGGGCUGCAUUUGAUACGUGUGAUCUAGAGUGAGGAAGAGGGUCGUGGAAUUCCCAGUGUAGAGGUGAAAUUCGUAGAUAUUGGGAAGAACACCGGUGGCGAAAGGCGGCGACCUGGUCCGUUGACUGACGCUGGAGGCGCGAAAGCGUGGGGAGCAAACAGG